rnacentral:lncRNA from 1 species
AGUGCUGCUGCUGGAAACCAGAGUCUUCUUUUGUUUUCCCUCUCACCUCUGGCUGCCUCUCUCUCCCCUCAAAGGUCAGAGCAGUGCCAAGGACAGAAGAGAGAGUAGAUCCAGCCUUGGCCCUGCUAGGCUGGGCAGCCUGGCAGAUGGAGACUGACAGGAUCCUGGCUUGGGGGCCUUCCGGCAGGGCUGGCUGCUGGGCUGGCAGGCUCUGGCGCUCCCCUUCCCCAGAACUGACUUUGUUCCUGGCAGCCAUGGUGGCUGCACUAACCACAUUCUGCCUCCACCUUUGCACUAAGAAAAGCAAAUAAGCAGACCACAGAACUGUUUGCAUUUGCCCCAGAUGCUCCCUGGCUGCGGGAAGAGACACAGCAAACAGCAGUGCUGCGGAGGUAUGUCUAAUUGCAGAUACUUUUUGUUCAUCAUCGUAUUGAACGUCGUUGCGUGUUCCAGCAGCCAUCAACUUCCUCAGGAGGAAAAUUCAAUUGUGCACUGAGCGACAGCGUGAAGAGACCGGGCCAAGCAGGCAGGGUGCUGCAGGUCAACAAGGUGCUGCUGUGCUCCUGAAGCCUUCAGGAGCCUCAGCCUGAGAGCUCAGGAAAGGGUGGGGCUCCAACCCACCUGGCUUUCCGCCUUACUGAGCUCCAAACACAGGCUUGUUCCACAUCACGGAGAGCCCUUAUCCUGCAUGUGCGUCUCGCUCCCUGACAAGCCUAUUUGUGCCUUGUCACCAGAAAUGUACCUUUUUUCUUCUCUCAUCUGUCCCUGACACCCCCAGCUUAUCUAGCCUGAAGAGAGGCUAUCAAAAUGGUAAUAGCCAGAUGGAAAACAAGGAAAAAUAAGCCCUUUCCCAUAAGGAAGCAAUACGGAUUUUGGAACCGGAGAAAUUUCUACUAUUCUCCCAACAUCAUUCCCUCCGCCUUGGGUGUGCUUCCGAGAGGGUUGGAGGUGUCACCUGCCGUACCCUAGGACUGGCUGAGGGAAAACACACCUGAAGAUUUCCUGUAAAUGAAAAAGUGAAUCACUAAAAGGGGGAGCUGUCAUCCCCUGGCAUUUCUCUGUGCACAGGCGACCUAGUGUUGGGAUGGCAGCAGAACCCAGACAACUGAGCCAACACGUGGAGGGAAGCCCUCACUAGCCUGCAUUCGACUUGUGUGAGAGAGAAGUGAACGUUUACGUGCAAAGCCACUGAGCUUUUGUUGUUGUUCCUGCAGCACAGGGCAUUCUAACCUGCCUAAUACUGAAACGAGUACUGUUAGGCUUGAUCUGUGAAGAGGAGAACAUAAAAGGCCUGCAUAUUCUCUUUUAGGUCCUAAAAAUGCAGUGCUCUCUUCUUGGCCUUGCUGUGACCAGGCUGUUUAAAAUCUGUCACCCCGCCAGUCGCCACUGUAUUAUCUUGCUUUAUUUUUCUUCAUAGUAUUUAUUGAUAAUUUAUGUGCUUAUUAUGUCUCCCUGACUGGAAUGUAAGUUUCAUGAAGGCCAGGACUUGUGCCUUAAAACAGGGCCUGGCACAGAGUAGGCACUUAAUGUGUAUUUUUGAAAGUGAAUUGUGGGCUGAAAAUUCUGAUUUUUCAAAAAAGUUAAUAAAGGUGAAGGCCUUCCUUGCCUUUAUUAAA